CCUACGGGUGGCUGCAGUGGGGGAUAUUGGACAAUGGGGGAAACCCUGAUCCAGCGACGCCGCGUGAGUGAAGAAGUAUUUCGGUAUGUAAAGCUCUGUUAGCAGGGAAGAAAGAAAUGACGGUACCUGAUCCAGAAGCCCCGGCUAACUACGUGCCAGCAGCCGCGGUAAUACGUAGGGGGCAAGCGUUAUCCGGAAUUACUGGGUGUAAAGGGAGCGUAGACGGUGAUGCAAGUCUGGAGUGAAAGGCGGGGGCCCAACCCCCGGACUGCUCUGGAAACUGUGUAACUUGAGUGCAGGAGAGGAAAGCGGAAUUCCAAGUGGAGCGGUGAAAUGCGUAGAUAUAAGGAGGAACACCAGUGGCGAAGGCGGCUUACUGGACUGUAACUGACGUUGAGGCUCGAAAGCGUGGGGAGCAAACAGGAUUAGAUACCCGGGUAGUC
rnacentral:rRNA from 1 species